GGUCUGAUCACUAAAGGAGUUAAUUUAGAUUAAGUUGUUUUGGUGCCUGGAGUGUCCCUUUAAUUUGUUCUAUAUUUUAUCAUAAUGAUGCAGACGUUAGCAAAACAAAAUCUUCAUUGUGAUUGAUUAGUAUACCAUCAAGGUGUGGCUAGUGCUGCAUAAACAAAUAGAUUUAACUCCUAAAUGGCAGAGCAUUGAGCUAUGAGACUGCAGGGACAUGAUCUAUACACCAAAACCACUUUGCCAAGCUGUUAAG